rnacentral:tRNA from 1 species
GAGGGUGUAGCUCAGUGGUACAGCACAUGCUUAGUGGGCAAGAGAUCCUGAGUUCAAUCCCCAGUGCCUCCU